GAUGAAGAACGCAGCGAAAUGCGAUACGUAAUGUGAAUUGCAGAAUUCAGUGAAUCAUCGAAUCUUUGAACGCACAUUGCGCCCGCUAGUAUUCUGGCUGGCAUGCCUGUCCGAGCGUCAUUUCAACCCAUCAAGCUUAGCGCUUGUGUUGGAGCCCUGCGGCCGCCGCAGCCUCCUAAAAUCAGUGGCGGGCUCGCUAUCACGCUGAGUGCAGUAGUAUUCUUCUCACUCCUGUGGUGUAGCGGGUAACCAGCCGUAAACCCCCCCAUCUAUAAAGGUUGACCUCGGAUCAGGUAGGAAUACCCGCUGAACUUAAGCAUAUCAAUAAGCGGAGGA
rnacentral:misc_RNA from 1 species